rnacentral:piRNA from 1 species
GAUACCAUAUCAGGAACUAUUCAGGAUC